UUUCCGUAGGUGAACCUGCGGAAGGAUCAUUAUCGAGUUAGGGUCUUCUAGGCCCGAUCUCCAACCCUUUGUAUAACUACCAUGUUGCUUUGGCGAGCCCGUCUUUAACCGGACCGCCGGAGGUGUUACAGCCUCUGGCCCGUGCUUGUCAGUAGCCCACACUUAAAUUCUUUUUAACCAUGUUAAAUCUGAAACUAGUUAAAUAAACUAAAACUUUCAACAACGGAUCUCUUGGUUCUGGCAUCGAUGAAGAACGCAGC
rnacentral:misc_RNA from 1 species